rnacentral:rRNA from 1 species
UCGAGGCCUUUCAGCUCGUGGGUGAUGUAAUGGCUCACCAAGGCGUCGACGGGUAGCCGGCCUGAGAGGGUGACCGGCCACACUGGGACUGAGACACGGCCCAGACUCCUACGGGAGGCAGCAGUGGGGAAUAUUGCACAAUGGGCGAAAGCCUGAUGCAGCAACGCCGCGUGAGGGAUGACGGCCUUCGGGUUGUAAACCUCUUUUAGCAGGGAAGAAGCGAAAGUGACGGUACCUGCAGAAAAAGCACCGGCUAACUACGUGCCAGCAGCCGCGGUAAUACGUAGGGUGCAAGCGUUAUCCGGAAUUAUUGGGCGUAAAGAGCUCGUAGGCGGUCUGUCGCGUCUGCUGUGAAAUCCCGAGGCUCAACCUCGGGCUUGCAGUGGGUACGGGCAGACUAGAGUGCGGUAGGGGAGAUUGGAAUUCCUGGUGUAGCGGUGGAAUGCGCAGAUAUCAGGAGGAACACCGGUGGCGAAGGCAGAUCUCUCGUCCGUAACGGACGCUGAGGAGCGAAAG